rnacentral:tRNA from 1 species
GGAAAAAUAGCUCAGUGGUAGAGCAUAUGCUCAGCAUGCACAAGGUCCUGGGUUCAAUCCCCAGUACCUCCA